AUGCUGUGGAGGAGGGUGGACAGAGAUGCGCAAGGAGAAGGAUUCGAAGAACCACUCAGAGAAUGUGCUAGAUCCUCCAUGUCCCAAAGCAGCCCCCACCCCCGCCCCUUCCUCCCAGUUCUGCUGCCUCUCUUAUUAUUAGACGUGGAUGUCACACUUCUUCUUGCAGCAGCAGAAGCAGGCCAGUGCAGCCAGGAGGAGCAGCAGGAGCAGAGGGAUGCCGAUGCCCAGAACCAGGCCCAGAACAAGGUCCAGCUCCACAUCGCCCCCCUUGCCUCGCCCUGGAACAGGCCAGUCAAUGUUAAUGUAAGUCAUAGCCAUGGCAAACUGUGGCAAACUCACAUAUUGUAUCAGCAAGUGAGAAAGGACGGGAUGAAUGUUAUGGUAUUUUAGAUCCUCACCUAAUACACAGGACUGGGUUUCAUCCAGAUCAGUGCCGUUGCAGACACACCUGUAGCCUCCGUAGGUGUUGGCACACAGGGCUGGAGAGACACACAACGCCUCCUUGGCCUUACACUCGUCCAGAUCUGUGGGUGGGGGCAGAGGGGUAUAAGUCCUACUAACGCCGAGUGCUGCAGUAUUUUAUACCUUACUGCAAUACUAUAGCGGACAGAAAAAAAUAGCCACAUUCAUCGUGAUGAAGUUAAAAUUGUAUGUCAUCAGUCGAUCAUAUAUUACUGUUUCUGCAUUGGAAUUACAAUGAUAAUGACCCUUUGCCAAGAGUUUACCAUUUUUGACAAAGUAGCAAAGAAAUUCAGAAUUCAACAAAAACCAAACACUAUAGUAACAGGUUUUAUUUAGUAAAAUAAAAAGUAUUGUGCCAAACAACAAAACCUGGAUUUCAAAACAGCAUAUUUAAAUGUGGUGUUUGAUUUGCUGAGCUUAAACAUUUCUUCCCAAAAAUAAAUUACUGAAUAAAUACUUUUUUUUUCUUACCAUCAACCUCAAUGCCACUGAUGUCAUAGUGGCCGCUGACUCUGGCCAGGUAGUCUCUGAUAUACCAGUGGGGUGUGUCACUGGACAUGUUGAUACGAUAUUCCCCCGAGCCUGGUUUAGAGCUCUGUCCUGGCUCCUUCUUGCUGGCGUUGUAGAAUUUGUUCUGGAAACCCAUCAUCAUGAUGUCCACCAGCUGAGACACAAGCACGGAUAGAUUAUUGAUUUGCAAUUAAGAAAUGUGUUUGAUUAUCGUAUUUGUGUUACAAGUUCCACACCUGAUCCAGUCCAUCAGAUUCGUCCUUCUUCCAGUUCACAGAGACAUUGAACAAAUUAGACCCUGCAGGAGCACAACAGCAGCAACAGCUGUGUUAACCUCAUAUUACCAUAUCGUACAUGGGCAUGUUUACCAUGGCAACACCAGAGGCAGGGCCAAACUAUGUUCAAGCCCUCGAGGGCCAUAGAUGGAGGCACAUGGGAGCUCUUACCUGGAGGGUUGGCAGAGUCACCUGCAGAGAAACACACCAUUCAGAACUGGAUCAAAUACAUAACUGUAAUUACAGUUUUCAUACACACAUUUUUAUUCAUCUCAUAUUAGUUUUGUUUUGUUUUUUGUCUGUCUGGACUAAACAAAUCAGAGCCACUUGUUCUGAUAGAUUAGACCUCUGAGGUAAAGUAACCAAAUUCAUUAUUUACAGAUGCAUAUUUUUGUCGUCAUCAUCAUCAUUUCCGUUCACAUAUUAUGCUCAAUAAAAGUCACCUCUGAGGAUCAUCAUUUUAUAUAAUGUUCUUAUGAAUACAUGUAUUUCAAGGUAUAUUAUAUUAGGACCAUGCAGGGACUCUAUCUCUCUCUCUAAGACAUGUAGAUAGAAAGAUAGAUGGAUUAACUUUAUUGAUCCCAAGCUGGGAAAUUCUGUAGUACAACGAGUAAAGAGGCUGUCAAAGAUCAUAUCAAAUGUCAUACUAAGUAAAAAAAAAGAAUACAGAAUAUGGAGUCAUACAGUUGUAUUUAUAUAUGGGAUUUACCAAAUAUGUACCGUGUGCUUUCACUGCAGUACAUGAUAGCCCUAUAUGAACUCUAGAUGAUGCUGUUUCUCGUGUGUUGUCUAUAGUUCAUUUAUUGCCAAGUAAUGCUUUGGAAAAAUUUUUAAAAUAUAGUUGGACUAUAUCGACUGUCAUUUGAACUUUUAAUGUUUGUGAGUGUUAUUGUCUGCUGCAGACUAAAUGACAACGCAUAUGCCUGUGCACAUACCACAUCCGUCAGUGUCCUUGGUGUCCUUGUAUCUACAGAGGCAGUCAACGGAGCCCGGCUUGUUCUUACACUCAAACUUAGCAUUGGGGCAGCUGGAGAGCUCUGCACACUCGUCUAUAUCUACAAAUACGGACGGAGGCAGAUGUGCAGUUAAAUUAUUGUGAAUCAAUGUGUUUCUGACCAUACGAAAGUGGUGGUGUAUUCAGUACCUGUGCAGUUGUGUCCAUUUCCUGCAAAGCCAGGCUUGCAUGUGCAGGUGUAGUUUUGUUUUGUGCUGUGGCAGUCGGCAUCUUUGUGGCAAGGAAAGGGGUAAGGAUGGAUGCACAUGUCUGAGAAAGUACACAGAGGAACAAGUCAAAAUCUUUUCCCCCCAAAUGUGAAAAUGUGACUGCAUAAAAACAAAUCCUGCAAACAAAAAAAAUCAUGAUUGUGCCACAAACCAUGCUCAAAGCACUUGUAUCCCUGUUUUCCAUUAGAGACAGUACUCUCAGGACACUCUCCACAGGUGAACUGGUCGGGCUCUGUCUUCGACUGGCACUUCACCCCUCGGAAGCAGGGCUUGCCUUGACAUAUGUCUGAGGUGUUCCCACAGAACUUUCCACUGAAGCCCUUUGGACACAGGCAGCCGACCACCUGGGAGCAGAGAGGAAGACGGACACAGUUUAACAUUUAGCAUACUGUAAGUCCAUAACUGAUUCUACAUUCAGAGCUUCUUAGACAGGAGAAUUUUUAUUUGUAUUAAAAGUGCUAUAUAAAUAAAGUCUGAUUGAUUGAUUGAAAUGAUGCAUCGAGGUAUUUUAGUUAGUAAAACGUUAUUCAUCAGGCUUUUAAGUUACUAGGGUCAUCCAUGAAAUUGUUUUUUUAAUGAACAGACCAAGUGCAAGAUUAAAUUACCGGCAUGGGUCCACAUUGUGAUUUAGCUUGUUUGUAUUCACAUUUAUUUCAUAUCAUUUC
rnacentral:lncRNA from 1 species